AUUCGGGAGUCGGCGCAGUCAUUUUUGGGUUAGGCAAGCGCACGGUAUGGGAACAGAGAGGGUCGUUAAGAUGGCGAUGGUUGAAUAGUUGGUGUGUUUUUCGGAAAGUUGCUCUUGAUGGAAGUUCGGUAAUUGUUGAGACGUUCGAUUGGUUUUGGUUAAUUGGAGUUGGAGGAUCGUCUUAAGCCGCUUGCGGGAUUCGAGCCGAACUUAUUCCAUUUAUAUACGUGGGGUUAGACCACGCGGUGAUUGAAUCGGAGAUUAUAGCAACAAGUUGGGACCAUCCGCCGUUAUUUUGUCAAUCCGUCCUUUAAUAGGACAGUACCGACCUGGGGAGUAGUCUUUACGUUAUCGUCGUGGUCGCAUGUAGAUUUGGCCAUCGGUAUAUGUGUAGCUGUUUACAACGAGGGGGGAAGCCGUCUCUAAACUGGAGCAAGUGUAGCGAAGGAUUUGAAUUAUCGGAGGAAGCUGUCCGAGCGAAUCGCAGUCUAAGAUCGUAACCAUCAUCGAGACAGGGUUCGACCCAUUGUAACUACCCUUACUGGAGCGCAGAGGAAGUUGUUGGAGGGAGUCGGCAGAGCUAAGUGUCAUAUUUGUAAUUGUAUUUGUCGGAACGUUGUCGGUGACUUCUGUCGUACGGUGUUUUUUUUGUUUUUUUGGACGGCGAAGUUAGACCUUCACAGGAAAUAAUCGUUGGCAAGAAUCCUGCGGAUUCUCAUUUGGUUCUGUGAAUCGGGGUUGUGAUCCCCAUUGCUUAUCGAUUUAGUAGAAGUCAUUUCGUCUCCAAGAAUUGAGCUUUUGUGAAUUAUUAAUCAACACUGAAUUUAUUGAGUCUAGUCAUUUGGUCAAAUUGUAAUUGUAUUUUGGCUUUUGUAAAAUCAAUUGGCCGUUAAUAAGACCAAGAGUCACCGAGAAAUCAAGUAACGUGUUAUACAUUUGUGUCUGCUAAGUUAACGUCAAAUAUUUUUCUUGUUGGGGUGGGGAAGAUUUACCAGUAUUCUGGAAUUUUGACAUUUAUUAAUUGGGUAUAUUAAUUAUGGUUGUUGAAUAAUUUUGUUGCAUGAUUGAUUAUGAGGGCUGUGUAACUGCUGUGAUUUCGUGUUGGUUCACUGUAUAAUUAGUUGCAGCAAAUUAGGCUGGAAAAGGUACCGUCGGUUAUUGCGCAAUACCCCACGAGGUUUGGAUAUUUAAAUUGUGAAUAUAAGUUGUGUCCGGGUUUUAUUUAUUUCGUAUUUAGCACUAGAUUUUGGGUGCUGUUAUUAUAGUAGGGUGCCUACUAUUCGGGCGUUGAAAUCAUAGGGUUAUUGCCGUGCCUUUUGGCAUGUGAUUAUUCUGGCUGGGGUUCAUAU